GACGAACGCUGGCGGCGUGCUUAACACAUGCAAGUCGAACGGUGAAGGUGGAGCUUGCUCCGCCGGAUCAGUGGCGAACGGGUGAGUAACACGUGGGCAACCUGCCCCUCACUUCGGGAUAACUCCGGGAAACCGGGGCUAAUACCGAAUACGACCUCCUUGGGCAUCCCGGGAGGUGGAAAGUUUUUCGGUGAGGGAUGGGCCCGCGGCCUAUCAGCUUGUUGGUGAGGUAACGGCUCACCAAGGCGACGACGGGUAGCCGGCCUGAGAGGGGGACCGGCCACACUGGGACUGAGACACGGCCCAGACUCCUACGGGAGGCAGCAGUGGGGAAUAUUGCGCAAUGGGCGAAAGCCUGACGCAGCAACGCCGCGGGCGGGAUGAAGGCCUUCGGGUUGUAAACCGCUUUCAGCAGGGAAGAAGCCGCAAGAUGACGGUACCUGCAGAAGAAGCACCGGCUAACUACGUGCCAGCCGCCGCCGUAA
rnacentral:rRNA from 1 species